rnacentral:tRNA from 1 species
GCGAUUGUGGCGAAGUGGUUAACGCACCGGAUUGUGGCUCCGGCACUCGUGGGUUCGAUUCCCAUCAGUCGCCCCU